rnacentral:rRNA from 1 species
AACGAACGCUGGCGGCGUGCCUAACACAUGCAAGUCGUACGAGAAACACAUCCUUCGGGGUGUGGAGUAAAGUGGCGCACGGGUGAGUAACACGUGGGUAACCUGCCUGGUGGAUCGGGAUAACUGGCCGAAAGGCCCGCUAAUACCGGAUAAGACCACAUGAGCUUCGGCUCAAGGGGUCGAAGUCGGCCUAUCGAUGAAGCCGGCACCACUGGAUGGGCCCGCGGACCAUUAGCUAGUUGGUAGGGUAAAAGCCUACCAAGGCCGAGAUGGUUAGCUGGUCUGAGAGGAUGGCCAGCCACACUGGAACUGAGACACGGUCCAGACUCCUACGGGAGGCAGCAGGGAGGAAUAUUGCGCAAUGGGGGAAACCCUGACGCAGCAACGCCGCGUGAGUGAAGAAGGCUUUCGGGUUGUAAAGCUCUGUCGGGUGGGAAGAAACUUCCCCAGGUAAAUAGCCUGGAGAACUGACGGUACCACCGAAGGAAGCACCGGCUAACUCCGUGCCAGCCGCCGCGGUAACAC